GUACUCACUUCAGCAGCACAUAUGCUCAAAUUGGAACGCUACAGAGAAGAGUAGCAGGGCCCCUGCUCCAGGAUGACCCACAAAUUUGUGAGUGUUGUUU
ensembl:snRNA U6 U6 spliceosomal RNA